UGGCACCUACGGUGCGCAGCAGUGGGGAAUAUUGCACAAUGGGGGAAACCCUGAUGCAGCAACGCCGCGUGGGUGAAGGAGCGUUUCGGCGCGUAAAGCCCUGUCAGCGGGGAAGAAGAAAGACGGUACCCGACCAAGAAGCCCCGGCUAACUACGUGCCAGCAGCCGCGGUAAUACGUAGGGGGCGAGCGUUAUCCGGAAUUACUGGGUGUAAAGGGAGCGUAGACGGCGAGGUAAGACUGAAGUGGAAGCCCGCGGCCCAACCGCGGAACUGCUUUGGGAACUGUUUUACUGGAG
rnacentral:rRNA from 1 species